GCUUGUCUCAAAGAUUAAGCCAUGCACGUCUGAGAAUAAAGAGUUUUCUCUGAAUCUGCGAAUGGCUCAUUAUAUCAGUUAUAGUUUAUUUGAUAGUCCUUUACUACUUGGAUAACCGUAGUAAUUCUAGAGCUAAUACAUGCAUCAACUCCCAACUGCUUGUCGGACGGGAUGUAUUUAUUAGAUACAAAACCAAUGCGGGGCAACCCGGUUCUUGGUGAAUCAGAAUAACUGAACGGAUCGCAUGGCCUUGUGCCGGCGAUGAAUCAUUCAAAUUUCUGCCCUAUCAACUUUCGAUGGUAAGGUAUUGGCUUACCAUGGUUACAACGGGUAACGGGGAAUUAGGGUUCGAUUCCGGAGAGGGGGCCUGAGAAAUGGCCACCACUUCCAAGGAAGGCAGCAGG
rnacentral:rRNA from 1 species